rnacentral:rRNA from 1 species
AUUGAACGCUGGCGGCAGGCCUAACACAUGCAAGUCGAACGCGUGGCGGACGGGUGAGUAAUGUCUGGGAAACUGCCUGGUGGGGGGGGAUCACUAGUGGAAGCGGUAGCUUAUACCGCAUACCCUCAGAUGUGCCCAGAUGUGAUUAGCUUGUUGGUGGGGUAACGGCUCCCCAAGGCGACGAUCCCUAGCUGGUCUGAGAGGAUGACCAGCCACACUGGAACUGAGACACGGUCCAGACGCCUACGGGAGGCAGCAGUGGGGAAUAUUGCACAAUGGGCGCAAGCCUGAUGCAGCCAUGCCGCGUGUAUGAAGAAGGCCUUCGGGUUGUAAAGUACUUUCAGCGGGGAGGCGUUACCCGCAGAAGAAGCACCGGCUAACUCCGUGCCAGCAGCCGCGGUAAUUC